rnacentral:rRNA from 1 species
UCCUUGUCGGGUAAGUUCCGACCUGCACGAAUGGCGUAAUGAUGGCCAGGCUGUCUCCACCCGAGACUCAGUGAAAUUGAACUCGCUGUGAAGAUGCAGUGUACCCGCGGCAAGACGGAAAGACCCCGUGAACCUUUACUAUAGCUUGACACUGAACAUUGAGCCUUGAUGUGUAGGAUAGGUGGGAGGCUUUGAAGUGUGGACGCCAGUCUGCAUGGAGCCGACCUUGAAAUACCACCCUUUAAUGUUUGAUGUUCUAACGUGGACCCGUGAUCCGGGUUGCGGACAGUGUCUGGUGGGUAGUUUGACUGGGGCGGUCUCCUCCUAAAGAGUAACGGAGGAGCACGAAGGUUGGCUAAUCCUGGUCGGACAUCAGGAGGUUAGUGCAAUGGCAUAAGCCAGCUUGACUGCGAGCGUGACGGCGCGAGCAGGUGCGAAAGCAGGUCAUAGUGAUCCGGUGGUUCUGAAUGGAAGGGCCAUCGCUCAACGGAUAAAAGGUACUCCGGGGAUAACAGGCUGAUACCGCCCAAGAGUUCAUAUCGACGGCGGUGUUUGGCACCUCGAUGUCGGCUCAUCACAUCCUGGGGCUGAAGUAGGUCCCAAGGGUAUGGCUGUUCGCCAUUUAAAGUGGUACGCGAGCUGGGUUUAGAACGUCGUGAGACAGUUCGGUCCCUAUCUGCCGUGGGCGCUGGAGAACUGAGGGGGGCUGCUCCUAGUACGAGAGGACCGGAGUGGACGCAUCACUGGUGUUCGGGUUGUCAUGCCAAUGGCACUGCCCGGUAGCUAAAUGCGGAAGAGAUAAGUGCUGAAAGCAUCUAAGCACGAAACUUGCCCCGA